CGACGAUGUUGAUGAUGAUGACGACGAUGUUGAUGAUGAUGAAAUAACUGAUGUUAAUUCAUCAUCAUCAACAUCAUCAUCAUCAGCAGCAACA
rnacentral:pre_miRNA from 1 species